AACGAACGCUGGCGGCAUGCCUAACACAUGCAAGUCGAACGAGAUCUUCGGGUCUAGUGGCGCACGGGUGCGUAACGCGUGGGAAUCUGCCCUUUGGUUCGGAAUAACAGUUGGAAACGACUGCUAAUACCGGAUGAUGACGAAAGUCCAAAGAUUUAUCGCCAGAGGAUGAGCCCGCGUAGGAUUAGCUAGUUGGUGUGGUAAAGGCGCACCAAGGCGACGAUCCUUAGCUGGUCUGAGAGGAUGAUCAGCCACACUGGGACUGAGACACGGCCCAGACUCCUACGGGAGGCAGCAGUGGGGAAUAUUGGACAAUGGGCGAAAGCCUGAUCCAGCAAUGCCGCGUGAGUGAUGAAGGCCUUAGGGUUGUAAAGCUCUUUUACCCGGGAUGAUAAUGACAGUACCGGGAGAAUAAGCUCCGGCUAACUCCGUGCCAGCAGCCGCGGUAAUACGGAGGGAGCUAGCGUUGUUCGGAAUUACUGGGCGUAAAGCGCACGUAGGCGGCUUUGUAAGUUAGAGGUGAAAGCCUGGAGCUCAACUCCAGAACUGCCUUUAAGACUGCAUCGCUUGAAUCCAGGAGAGGUGAGUGGAAUUCCGAGUGUAGAGGUGAAAUUCGUAGAUAUUCGGAAGAACACCAGUGGCGAAGGCGGCUCACCUGGACUGGUAUUGACCCUGAGGUUGCGAAAGCGUGGGGAGCAAACCAGGAAUUAGAUACCCUUGGUACUCCACGCCGUAAACGAUGAUAACUAGCUGUCCGGGGGACUUGG
rnacentral:rRNA from 1 species